CACAUGCAGUCGAGCGGUAACAGGGGUAGCUUGCUACCCGCUGACGAGCGGCGGACGGGUGAGUAAUGCAUAGGAAUCUGCCCGAUAGUGGGGGAUAACCUGGGGAAACCCAGGCUAAUACCGCAUACGUCCUACGGGAGAAAGGGGGCUCCGGCUCCCGCUAUCGGAUGAGCCUAUGUCGGAUUAGCUAGUUGGUGAGGUAAAGGCUCACCAAGGCGACGAUCCGUAGCUGGUCUGAGAGGAUGAUCAGCCACAUCGGGACUGAGACACGGCCCGAACUCCUACGGGAGGCAGCAGUGGGGAAUAUUGGACAAUGGGGGGAACCCUGAUCCAGCCAUGCCGCGUGUGUGAAGAAGGCCCUCGGGUUGUAAAGCACUUUCAGUGAGGAAGAACGCCUGGUGGUUAAUACCCAUCAGGAAAGACAUCACUCACAGAAGAAGCACCGGCUAACUCCGUGCCAGCAGCCGCGGUAAUACGGAGGGUGCGAGCGUUAAUCGGAAUUACUGGGCGUAAAGCGCGCGUAGGUGGCUUGAUAAGCCGGUUGUGAAAGCCCCGGGCUCAACCUGGGAACGGCAUCCGGAACUGUCAAGCUAGAGUGCAGGAGAGGAAGGUAGAAUUCCCGGUGUAGCGGUGAAAUGCGUAGAGAUCGGGAGGAAUACCAGUGGCGAAGGCGGCCUUCUGGACUGACACUGACACUGAG
rnacentral:rRNA from 1 species